GCCGAGAUGGCAGAACUUGGUAAACCCCUUUCUUUGUAAAGAAAGAAGCCGCAGGACGCAGAGCGUCAAUCGCUUUGGUCCAAAGAAACUCAGCGGCUUCGCAAUAUUAAGAAAGGCGGGCCAAUAUGCGCAAGCCUGGAAAGCUUGUUCCUGGAAACGGGAGCGGGAGUUCAAAUCUCCCUCUCGGCG
rnacentral:tRNA from 1 species